rnacentral:rRNA from 1 species
CCUACGGGAGGCUGCAGUGGGGAAUAUUGGACAAUGGGCGAAAGCCUGAUCCAGCCAUGCCGCGUGUAUGAAGAAGGCCUUCGGGUUGUAAAGCACUUUCAGUGGGGAAGAAAGCCUUGGGGCUAAUACCCUCGAGGAAGGACAUCACCCACAGAAGAAGCACCGGCUAACUCCGUGCCAGCAGCCGCGGUAAUACGGAGGGUGCGAGCGUUAAUCGGAAUUACUGGGCGUAAAGCGCGCGUAGGCGGUCUGAUAAGCCGGUUGUGAAAGCCCCGGGCUCAACCUGGGAACGGCAUCCGGAACUGUCAGGCUAGAGUGCAGGAGAGGAAGGUAGAAUUCCCGGUGUAGCGGUGAAAUGCGUAGAGAUCGGGAGGAAUACCAGUGGCGAAGGCGGCCUUCUGGACUGACACUGACGCUGAGGUGCGAAAGCGUGGGUAGCAAACAGGAUUAGAUACCCCUGUAGUC